rnacentral:rRNA from 1 species
AGUGAACGCUGGCGGUAGGCUUAACACAUGCAAGUCGAACGGCAGCACAGUAAGAGCUUGCUCUUACGGGUGGCGAGUGGCGGACGGGUGAGGAAUACAUCGGAAUCUACUUUUUCGUGGGGGAUAACGUAGGGAAACUUACGCUAAUACCGCAUACGACCUACGGGUGAAAGCAGGGGAUCUUCGGACCUUGCGCGAUUGAAUGAGCCGAUGUCGGAUUAGCUAGUUGGCGGGGUAAAGGCCCACCAAGGCGACGAUCCGUAGCUGGUCUGAGAGGAUGAUCAGCCACACUGGAACUGAGACACGGUCCAGACUCCUACGGGAGGCAGCAGUGGGGAAUAUUGGCCAAUGGGCGCAAGCCUGAUCCAGCCAUACCGCGUGGGUGAAGAAGGCCUUCGGGUUGUAAAGCCCUUUUGUUGGGAAAGUAAAGCAGCAGGUUAAUACCCCGCUGUUCUGACGGUACCCAAAGAAUAAGCACCGGCUAACUUCGUG